AUGGGCACAGGAAUUUCGGGAACGUCUCGAAUAUCUCAGUCAUUCAAAAAUGGAGGAAGCACGUGCGAAAAGCCCAGAAGAACAAUUUGUACAUCUUUUAUCCGUUUUAUCGGAGAUGCAGGCACUGUUUAUCCAAGUAGCAAUGCAAAUUCAAGAAUACACUUGGAGGAAAAUAUUGGAAGUAGAAGAUUGACCAUGCUCAGAAUCCAAGAAAGGAGGAUUGCGGCUUUUCAUGCGUUUAACCAGAUAAUGUUGAACCUCAGCUUGAAUUUUCCACCCCCUGUACCACCUAGUCACAGUUUUGUAGAAGCCUCUAGUCACAACCAACAAACAAGACCAGGAGUGGAGAAGAAGACCCCUAAAACGUCUUGUUGCCAGGCGGCGGAUUCUCUUCCCUGAUGAUGAUAAUGCAACUCAGGAAACUUCAUCCCACUCAUCCACCGAGACGUAAUGGUUAGACCUAUGCCCUUUCAACUCAGCAACUUCUAAAGGGGAAAGGGCCUCUUUCACUGCGAUGGGUGAGAAAAAUGGUGCCACAUCCGUGAAUUCAAGUCCUUUUGCUGCACAUUUUCAGUGCCCAACUCAUUUGAAGUGGCAUUCUUGUGAGAAUAUUCAUGGAAAAGUUACCCAACUCUUAAAAGUUUAGAGUCAAAGCCAAAUAGUUUUACACACUGUUAGAGUGACAGAAGAUCUGCCAUCUCGAUUCUUGUAUUUAUUUUUUAUGCUAAACUGAGGACUGUUGAUCUUCUGUCGCAUUCUAAAAGUGUGUGAAGUCGUUCAGCAUACGAGUAUACUUCAUUUAAGGCACUAUCUGAAUGAUCAAACCAUUCAGUUUAAGUUGUCCUUGAUGAGAAAAAUGAUUCUCUUUCAUUCUUAAGUAUGUGAAGUCUGUCCAAAAUUAGUGGAAAGACACCUUAAUUUAAUUUACAAAAGCCUGAGGGCUGUACAGGAAUUUUCAUUGAUUGCUUUAUAACUCUGCAGAAUUUAGUUAGAAUAUUGAAAUAUUCUGCUCAUUUUUCUACUUAGGCUCGUCUUUUUAGAUUUCCUUGGUUGAGUGAGAACCAACAACACUCUUUUCAAAAUCCAAUUUUGAUGUUUCUGCAAUGAAAGCAAUGUUUUAAUUUUUUUUUCCUGACAUAAAUUUUCAAGACCAAGAUCCCAUACAGUCCACUGGUGUCUAACUUCUUACAGAAAGAGCUGUUAGAUUUAAGGAAAAGUGACCAUUAAUCAUGAUGAAAACUUGUUGUUUUCAGGCGGAAAAUCUGUUUGGGGUCACGAAUAUUUAUUCUUGACUUUGAUGGUUUUAUGUUUUUCAAAUGCCCAUAAACAUAGGGUAUAAAUGAAUAAUAUUUCAUGCAUCUGAAGCAAAUCGUUUUUGAUAUGGAUCUUAGGUACUCAGAGUGUAGAAUUUGUUUUCAAUUUCAAGUUUUUAAUUUUGAGGUAAGUUGCUUUGUGUAAUAAUUAAUAGUGAACUUAAUUUUGUAGCUCUGAAAUGCCUUCAUCUUCAAAUAUUAGAGUGCUUAUCAUGAAAAUCUUGUGAAUAAACUCUUGAUGUCUUGAUCAGUCAAAUGAUAGCAGGUUUUGUUUUUUCAUUUACUUAAAUUGAAUUCCUGAAUAAUAUUUAUUGAAUGAUGAGUUGGGUCAUGAUCAAAUCCACUGAUGAUGGGCCAACUUUUCAAAGACAGUAUUCCAGGUAGGGGUGUUCUGUCGGUUUCCGGUAAGCUAUUGGAACAGUUUCAUUAAGAUAUAUGAUAACAAAAAGACCCUCACAGAUGGCAAGUAGAAUGUUCAGAGCUGAAGAAAAUGUAUUUGUCAGUUUAAGAGGCCGAGCAACCCAUUGAACUGAGACUUAUAAGGCAACAAUGCUUUGACUUGGCAAUUUGUUCAGCACAAUCAUUAUUAUUCAGCAAUAUGUGGUCUUGUAGUGAACCAAAAAUUCAAAACAAGCAGUACUGAUAGCUAAUCGACAAGGAUUGAUUAGAACGCCCCUAGUUGAAGACAGUAUUUCAUAAACAUUAGCACAAGAACAUUUUCGCCAAGAGAAAGUUUCUGCCACUUUCAAUUUAAAUGAAAUUCUCAAUGCCUCUUCUUUCAAAUUACUCUUUGAGUCACUAGGGCUGCUUCUCUACUCAACUCUUUGAUGUGAAAGAGGACACUGUAUAGCAAAGGAAUCUAUGGCAGAUUGACUUAUUUUGCAGCAGUGUGUCCUCAUUGACUGAUUUAGUGGCUAAGCCAUUCUUGCGAAAAUAUCGACAGUUCAAAACUGAAACCAUAGAGACAAACUCUGUGCCUCAUGAUCAAGUAAUGACUCACUUGUACUUGAGACUUGAUAAAUUUAGAUUUCAAUUUUUAGACACGUUUUACCACAACGGCACAAGUCAGAGACAAGGUUGUGUUCAUUUACGAUGGAAACCUUUGAAUAGCAAUAUAAAACUAUGACAUAGCUAUUAUAUCAGUCUAAAAUAGAACAGCGGCACAAUUAAGAGGAAUGUGUUGGAGAGGAAUGACAUACACCAUAAUGAGAACAAUUCAAUUGAUUUCUUUAGAUUUCUUUCAUAAAAAAGAAUACACUGUAAUUUUAUCUAGUAAAUACAAUAUUUAUACAAUACUAAGCAAAAGUAUUCAUCGAUAGACUUAGGAGUAAGAAUAAUCAUAGAAAAAUAAUCACAAAAAUGCUUUUUUCUCUUAAAUCUUUAAAACGUAAAAAUAUUUGAUAUUCUUCAAUUCAAGGUUGUCCUUAAACUCAUUCUCUUGCUUAAGCACAAAUAAAGAAAAAAGAAAAAAACAAAUUCUCAACUUUUGACAAAUUGUAGAUGAUAGUAUACUUUGCAGUUAUCAUCUUUCUUCAUUGAACAAAUAUUAACACUGUACAUAUCGCUCUUUGAACCGUAACUCUAUACAAUACAAGUCGGCAAAAGGCUCUUUGGAAAGAUUUGUAUAAUAUUUACAUUAACAAUUAAAAGAGGCUUUCCACAGACGGUAUUGGUUAAAAAUUAAGAAAAUAAAAUUUACAAAAGUGAUACAUUGUGUUCAAAAUGUAUCUAUGUCCAAACGUACUUAAUCAAAAAUAUACAGACAUUGCUCAUCUCAGAUAAAUCUUCUCUCUUGAGAGGGCAAUUCAUUUGAUAAAAGUCAAAUAAUAAAGAUUCCAAGUAUUUAUAUAUCUAUAUAUACUUCGAUACAUACAUAUACGAAUGUACAAAUAUAAAAGCGUGAGAUGAGGAAAAUGAUAAUAGAAAAUAAUCAAAUAAAUAAAGAAAAAAAUGAAAGAACAAAACAAGAAAUUACCACAGAAAGCACAUCUCCACAAAGGUUGCAAUAUGUAAAAAUUAAAGAAUUUGUUAAGUGUUCAAAAUAUACAGUACAGAUAUUUUUAAGAAAAGGUGAAAAAUUUUAGUUUCAUGGACUUGUAUUUAACACUACACCCGUAAUAAAAGAAAGAAA
rnacentral:lncRNA from 1 species